UACGAAGGGGGCUAGCGUUGUUCGGAAUUACUGGGCGUAAAGCGCACGCAGGCGGAUUGAUAAGUCGGGGGUGAAAUCCCGGGGCUCAACCUCGGAAUUGCCUUCGAUACUGCAAAUCUCGAGUCCGAGAGAGGUGAGUGGAAUUCCUAGUGUAGAGGUGAAAUUCGUAGAUAUUAGGAAGAACACCAGUGGCGAAGGCGGCUCACUGGCUCGGUACUGACGCUGAGGCGCGAAAGCGUGGGGAGCAAACAGG
rnacentral:rRNA from 1 species